rnacentral:rRNA from 1 species
GUGGGGAAUAUUGGACAAUGGGCGAAAGCCUGAUCCAGCCAUGCCGCGUGUGUGAAGAAGGUCUUCGGAUUGUAAAGCACUUUAAGUUGGGAGGAAGGGCAGUAAGUUAAUACCUUGCUGUUUUGACGUUACCGACAGAAUAAGCACCGGCUAACUUCGUGCCAGCAGCCGCGGUAAUACGAAGGGUGCAAGCGUUAAUCGGAAUUACUGGGCGUAAAGCGCGCGUAGGUGGUUCAGCAAGGUGGAGGUGAAAUCCCCGGGAUCAACCUGGGAACUGCCUCCAAAACUACUGAGCUAGAGUACGGUAGAGGGUAGUGGAAUUUCCUGUGUAGCGGUGAAAUGCGUAGAUAUAGGAAGGAACACCAGUGGCGAAGGCGACUACCUGGACUGAUACUGACACUGAGGUGCGAAAGCGUGGGGAGCAAACAGGAUUAGAUACCCGUGUAGUCC